AAAAAAGCAAUUAAGAGCAAAGGGUGAAAUACCUGGUACCGAGAGCCGAUGAAGGACGUAUCAAGUUGCGAAAAGUUACGGGGAAAUGCGAAAAAUUUAUGAUCCGUAAAUAUCCGAAUGGGGAAACCCGUCAGAGAAAAACUCUGUCAUUGUAUACUGAGAAAGUAGGUAUACUAAAGGGAACGCUGUGAACUGAAACAUCUAAGUAACAGCAGGAAAAGUAAUCAAAAGAGAUUUCGUAAGUAGCGGCGAGCGAAAGCGAAAGAUGGCCAAACCUAAUUUAGAAAUAAUUUAGGGGUUGUGGGAGCGCGUAAUAACAAAAGAAUAUAGUCGAAGUUAGUUGGGAAACUACAUCAUAGACGGUGAAAAUCCAGUAGACGAAAUAUUUUUAAGUUUGGCGUUGACCCGGAGUAACGCGGAUAAAGCAUACUCUGCGUGAAUAUAGGUGAACCAUCAUCUAAGCCAAAAUACUACUCGGUGACCGAUAGCGAACUAGUACCGUGAGGGAAAGUUGAAAAGAACCCCGGGAGGGGAGUGAAAAAGACCAUGAAACCCUUUGUUUACAGGCGUCGAAAGAUGUUAUUUAUAAUAUCGAUCGAGUACUUUUUGUAGAACGGUCCGGCGAGUUAUUGUGCGUUGCAAGGUUAAUGAUUUUAAAUCAGAAUCCGAAGAGAAAUCGAGUCUUAAUAGGGCGUCUAGUAGCGUAUAAUAGACCCGAAACCGUGUGAUCUAUCCAUGAGCAGGUUGAAGUAUUUGUAAAAAAAUAUGGAGGACCGAACCCACGUCUGUUGAAAAAGGCGGGGAUGACUUGUGGAUAGCGGAGAAAUUCCAAUCGAACACGGAGAUAGCUGGUUUUCCUCGAAAUAGCUUUAGGGCUAGCCUUGAAUGUGGUCUAAUGGAGGUAAAGCACUGAAUUGGUGAGGGUCCCUAAAAGGAUACCGAAUCAUAUCAAACUAAGAAUGCCAUCAAGAUAAUUUCAGGAGUCAGACUGCGUGAGAUAAGUUUCGUAGUCAAAAGGGAAAGAGCCCAGAUCAACAGCUAAGGUCCCUAAGUUUAUGUUAAGUGGUAAAGGAUGUGAAAAUUCUCAGACAACCAGGAUGUUGGCUUAGAAGCAGCCAUUCAUUAAAAGAGUGCGUAACAGCUCACUGGUCGAGAUUUUUUGCGCCGAAAAUGAGCGGGGCUAAAACAUAACACCGAAGCUUUGAAAUUUAGGAUUUUUUAUUUUAAAUUAAUAAAUACUCUUAAAUUGGUAGAGGAAUAAAUUGCAAGGAUGAAGCAUGGGCGAAAGCAAAUGUGGACGAAGCAAAAGUAAGAAUGCCGGAAUGAGUAGCGAGAUAUAUGUGAGAAACAUAUAGGCCGAAAGUCUAAGGAAUCCUGGGUAAAGCUAAUCUGCUCAGGGUAAGUCGGGACCUAAGGUGAGGCUGAAAAGCGUAGCCGAUGGACAACUGGUUGAUAUUCCAGUACUAACUUAUGAUUCAAUACGAUGACGCAAAAAAAUAAUCUAUCCUAGUUCUGGAUAUACUAGGUGAGAAAUCACGAGCGAAUUUUAGUAGUUAAGUAGAUGACGUUUUUUGCCAAGAAAAGUUCGUGGAGGUUAAUUAUAAGUUACCCGUACUAUAAACCGACACAGGUGGACGAGGAGAGAAUCCAAAGGCCGGCGGGAGAAGCGUUGUUAAGGAACUCGGCAAAUUUAUCCCGUAACUUAGGGAAAAGGGAUGCUUGAGAAAUCAAGUCACAGCAAAGGAACCCAAACGACUGUUUAUCAAAAACACAGGUCUCUGCUAAAGCGAAAGCUGAUGUAUAGGGGCUGACACCUGCCCGGUGCUGGAAGGUCAAGGAGAGAGGUUAGAAAGACUUGUCUUUCGAAGCUUUGAACUUAAGCCCCAGUGAACGGCGGCCGUAACUAUAACGGUCCUAAGGUAGCGAAAUUCCUUGUCAGGUAAGUUCUGACCCGCACGAAAGGUGAAACGAUUUGGGUACUGUCUCAACAACGCACCCGGUGAAAUUGAAGUGCCAGUGAAGAUACUGGCGACCCGCGACAGGACGGAAAGACCCCAUGGAGCUUUACUGUAAUUUAAUACUGAGGUUUUAAUGUUGGUAUACAGGAUAGGAGGGAGACUAAGAAGUUAAGACGCUAGUCUUAAUGGAGUCAACAGUGGGAUACCUCUAAUCAAUAUUGGAAUUUCUAACUCUGACAUCUUAUCGAGGUCGAGGACAAUGUUAGAUGGACAGUUUGACUGGGGCAGUCGCCUCCUAAAAAGUAAUGGAGGCGCUCAAAGGUCACCUCAGGAUGGUCGGAAAUCAUCCAAAGAGUGUAAAGGCAUAAGGUGGCUUAACUGCGAGAGUGACAACUCAAGCAGAUACUAAAGUAGGACUUAGUGACCCGGUGGCGGCAAGUGGGAGCGCCAUCGCUCAACGGACAAAAGUUACCCUGGGGAUAACAGGCUUAUCUCCCCCAAGAGUUCACAUCGACGGGGAGGUUUGGCACCUCGAUGUCGGCUCAUCGCAUCCUGGAGCUGUAGAAGGUUCCAAGGGUUGGGCUGUUCGCCCAUUAAAGCGGUACGCGAGCUGGGUUCAGAACGUCGUGA
rnacentral:rRNA from 1 species